CGCUGAUUUUUUUCUGGUCUGCGUUCCUAUACUCUGUACACCGCAGCCCCAGCUGGUUUUCCUGGCGUCUACGUCUCCUGCAGCUCGCCGUCGCGCUGGCCCCAGCUCGUUCCCUCCCAUGGCGCCCUCCCCUGCAAGCAGUGGUCGAGCUCCUCUUCCUCCCCAUCGCGGCGCUCCAGCUCGCCCGGUCAUGGCUGUCCUGCUCCCUGCUCCGACCAAGUUCGCCCAGGUCUUCCACUUCGCCGGCAGCAGGAGCUGCUUCUCCCUCAGCUCGCCCUAGUGCUCACCCAGCUCGCCUCCACCUCCCCUGUUGCCGACGACCGCGUGCUCUGCUAGCCGGAUCCGAGGUCGUCCUCGUCUCUUCCCCAUCUCCGGUCGCCGUGACCCCCAACUCGCCACCCCUGCUCAUGCACAUGGCGUCCACCGUGGAGUUCGCCGAGUGCCGCCGUCCUGCAGCUCGUCUUCUCCUAUCGCCGUCUCUAGCUGAUGCAGCAUCCGACGUCGACUUACCUGUGGCGUGGCGGCGACUUCCUGUGUCGUCCCCUGGUUCGCGCACUGGUGUGGAGAAUCGCUCGGUGCUGCUGGCCGUGUCGAGCUCAAGGCCCUGCUCGCUGUCCUCCAGCUCGCUCCGGCCGCGGGCGCCGUCGAACCCCAUCCUCCCCUGCUCGGCCACGCCCAGCAGCUUGAUCCUUGGCCCCUCGCCAUGGCCACAGUUUCCUCCCCGUCUGCCAAAUCGCCGUGCCUCCCUAGCGCUCCUCAACGUCGGCUGUCGAUCUCCCUCGGCGUUGUCUCCUCCCGCCGCCAAUUCGCCAGAGUGCGUCGCCUCCUUCCCAUUUAUCCUACCUUGCGACCUCACCUGUGCCUGCUCCUUGUUGGUGCUCACUCGGAUCCGCAUCUAUAGAUGGCCAAAAAGCACGAGGCCCGUGAGCCCGGCACGAAGCCCGCUUUUUAAGCCCGGUCCGAGCCCGGCACGGUAGAAUAAGCGGGCGGGCUUCAACAGAAAACUAGGCACGGCGGGCUAGCCCGGCACGGCCCGUUUACCUCUAAGCCCGUUAAGCCCGUUUUUUUUACACUAAAACGUGCUUACCGGUCCGUUUAGCCCGCUUUUCGGCCCGUUUGGCCAUCUCUAUCCGCAUCCAAUGUUCUCCUCGUCGUGGACCAUGAUCGUUUGGCUCAACAUCUCUAUUCCUACGUGAUGUGCGCCACUCCACCGUGCCCCGGAUAUCGUGCUUGUUAUGGUCGGCUCUGGUGGUCGGCAUCGCCACCCUGUCUGCCCCCGCCAGGCCCUCAGACCCACUAUGCUCCAGCUGUACGGCAUCGCUAGCUCUUGUGCCUUUCUGCGCGCGUGCCACUCAUUACCGCGUCGUCAUCCAGCUCGUGGUCGGCUUUGUCGUGAUUGCUGUGCAUUGCUCGACACCCUGCCAUCAUGUCUACAAUUGUGUCUACCAUCGUCGUCAAGUUCCUUUUGUGGUUGCCUCGCCUGCGUGUGUGUGGGAGUGAGGAUGGAGCUAUGGUUGAAGAAGAAAGUGAAGUUUGAAAGCGACGCUCGUCAUGGACCUCGUCGACCCACGUUGUGUCCACGACGUGCUCGUCGACUCCGAUGAUUUGUUUUCCAAUUGCGUGCUGCUUAUGUCGACCCUCGGAACUCCUUAUCGUGCUCGACCCUGCAAGUCUCCAACUCGUCGUCGUUCCGUGCUUCAUCAAGAAAUCCUAGGAGUUGGGUAAAGAAACGAUUAUCAUGUGACGCUCGUCAAAUAUUAGACGAACUUCUUGAACAUAUGAUCGUCGUUAUUUCUGCAAAUUCCCAGUUGGAUUUAGGUGCGCUAGUUGAUCAUGUGAUGCGAAGGACCAAAGCUGAGUGGACCACAAAAUGCUAUAAAGCAUGAGCCAUUCGUGAGGUGAUGUGGAUGAUGAACCUAAAGAAGGAUAAUCUGAACAAAUGCCAAGACAAAGGAUGGUCGCCAAGUGGUCAUCAUCUAACAAACACUAACAUAGUGUUUAUUCCAGAGAACGAUCCGGUUGAAGAGCCCAAAGAAC
rnacentral:misc_RNA from 1 species